CGGCUGUGACCAGAUCCAACGCCUCAGAAUUUUAACUGGCCCGUUGUUGUCAAACCUCCGUCGACAAUUCUGCUUACCGAACUUCUCACAUUC
rfam:Eucalyptus grandis cultivar BRASTZ1 unplaced genomic scaffold scaffold_4, whole genome shotgun sequence.